rnacentral:rRNA from 1 species
UCUGGGACAAGCCCUGGAAACGGGGUCUAAUACCGGAUACAACCGCUGACCGCAUGGUCCGGCGGUGGAAAGCUCCGGCGGUGCAGGAUGAGCCCGCGGCCUAUCAGCUUGUUGGUGAGGUAACGGCUCACCAAGGCGACGACGGGUAGCCGGCCUGAGAGGGCGACCGGCCACACUGGGACUGAGACACGGCCCAGACUCCUACGGGAGGCAGCAGUGGGGAAUAUUGCACAAUGGGCGCAAGCCUGAUGCAGCGACGCCGCGUGAGGGAUGACGGCCUUCGGGUUGUAAACCUCUUUCAGCAGGGAAGAAGCGCAAGUGACGGUACCUGCAGAAGAAGCGCCGGCUAACUACGUGCCAGCAGCCGCGGUAAUACGUAGGGCGCAAGCGUUGUCCGGAAUUAUUGGGCGUAAAGAGCUCGUAGGCGGCUUGUCGCGUCGGAUGUGAAAGCCCGGGGCUUAACCCCGGGUCUGCAUUCGAUACGGGCAGGCUAGAGUUCGGUAGGGGAGAUCGGAAUUCCUGGUGUAGCGGUGAAAUGCGCAGAUAUCAGGAGGAACACCGGUGGCGAAGGCGGAUCUCUGGGCCGAUACUGACGCUGAGGAGCGAAAGCGUGGGGAGCGAACAGGAUUAGAUACCCUGGUAGUCCACGCCGUAAACGGUGGGCACUAGGUGUGGGCAACAUUCCACGUUGUCCGUGCCG